UGCAUGGUGUCGAAAAGUCAGGACCUACUGUUUCAAUACUAUAUGUUAAAAUAAUAUGAAACAAUCGUUUAUCUUAAAAACUUUAGUUUCCAGAAGACGGUGUUGUUGCAUACUGGCGUUCAAAUUCAUCAAAACAAUCGCAAGAAGUACAAAUUAAGCGAAAAUAUGCAAGUACACAUAUAUAUAAGUCCACAAAAGUGAACACAUCAUCUCAAGCACAUAAUUAACCAACAUGCUAGCUAGCUACAUAAACUAACAACCAAAAGUUACCAUCCUAGAACUUCUAACAAUUAAGAUGAACAUAAAACCUACUUCUCCGAAUUAACUAUUAUAUAUCCUCAUUACAACUUGUGUUUGCUCUUCUAGAUCAGAUUAACAAUAAUGAUCUAUAUUAAUUAAUGCGCUUAUGGCUUUCCAGGAGGUUUAGGAUCAUGGUUGCUAUUUGCAUGCGAACCCGGAUAAUCGUUUAUUUCGAAAUCCAUCCUCUCGUUCACUGAGACAUGAUCUUCUUCCUUGAGAAUAUUUUGGGUGAUCACCUCCUGCAGAAUAGAUCAUAUACAACAAGAAAAACAGGAUUAAUUUUCCGCGCCUCAGUAAUUAAACUUUUGCAUUUAUACCCUCCAAACAAUUUAAUUACAUUGGCUUUAAUUUAUGCAAGAAUAUAUCUAUUUGUCUAAGUCCUCAAUAGUCAGAAUUUGCCCUUUAUGCGAUUAGAAAUAGUAUAUACAUUGUGACACUCGCAGGAUUUAGAAUAUCUCUAAAUAUAGAAUAUAAUAGAACUAAAUUUUUUAAUUAACUCGAUUAUAAAUAAACUUUAGUUCUAGUACUACUCUCGAUUAUAAUAUUCUAGACACAAAUUCAGUAAUUUAAAAGUUUUGAGGGGUACAUAUGUAAUUACGUGUGUUUUGAGGGGUAUAUAUGCGAAAAUUCCUCAUUUUAUUCCCACUAGCAGUUGCAGUACAUCAUCUUAUUAAAAACCAGCUAUCAGACAACUUGAUGGCAUGCCUUUCUGUUUUUUCUGAAAAUGAUGAAAGGGACAGCCAGGCUUUGUUUGAUAACAGUAAUUAAGUUAUUAAUUACAAGAACAGCAUUGCCCUGCCUAUGAUCCAAAACAGAUUGUAAUCCUAACUUAUAUGUUUUAUUAUUAUCGUUUUAACUGGAAAACUAAAAACGAUCGAGUUUGGUAAAUCCUUGGAUUCUUGGGUACAGAAUUGUAAAAAACAACAAAUCCUUUUUAAUUAUAGAUAUCGGCUUCAUUCGGGAUUGCGAGGAGAUUACGUUACGUGUGGUGAGAAAGUACGAUAGAAAAAUACCUUAUUUAUUUUCGCAUGUAAUAUUAAGUUCUGGAUAUUAGAAUGAGCCGGUUACGAUAUAUUUUCUACGGUUCCAAUAGAAAACGCAGAAGUAUAUUUCUAUAUACUUUUAUUCCAACUCCAUUUUAUCUAAUAGCGACAGAUAAGCCUCAAUAUCAAACUAAUCCUUGGUAUAUCUCUUACACGCCAAAAAAAAAAAAAAAAAGCCCAUAACAGGCGGUAGAAUAGUGCUCUGCAAGAAGGUUAAGAAUUCAGAAAUGCCAAUGCAGAUAAAUAAAAUCCCUAAUUAUAGCUUAUAUCAACAGUUUCAUUAACUUUUCUUGUAUAUAUACAUGGCAUUAGAUCUCUGCAUAUCUCAUAACAAGCUUUUUGUCCAUGUAGUGAGAGAGAGAGAGAGAGAGAGAGCGAGAGAGAGAGAGAGAGAGAGAGAGAGACCUGAUUUGCUGCUAAUCCUGUUUUUAGCUUUCUUGGUUCAGAACAUCCUGAAAAACAAAAGCCCAAAAAAACCUCAAAUUCAUAAAAGCAUAAAAUAAUUAAAACAAAGCUAAUUUGCUUCUCUAAUUCUUAUAUUAGAAAAUAGGCGACAAAAAUAUCAACAUGAAUAAGAGAAAUAUAUAGUAACUAAAGAGAGGCCACAGUACGUACCGAGAGAAAAAAGGCAUGAAAAGAGCAACAACAAUAUGAAGAGACGAAGCAGAGGCUUCUUCUGAUCCAUCCGAGAAAUUAACCUCUACUUUGAUAUAUAUAGAUAUCCUGAGUGGUACAAUAAGCUCACUACUACUCUUUGGCUUCUUAAUUAUGCCCUGGUGUUGGAGCAGUGGUGGGUGCGAGAGGGGGUUUAUAUAUAUAUAUAAUGCCAAAAGAUGGAGUUCACAUCUUGUAGUCAACUUCCCCAUUAUCUUACAGAGGAAGUGUCCCCUCAUCCUUUC
rnacentral:lncRNA from 1 species